AGAAAAGAAACCAACAGGGAUUGCCUCAGUAACGGCGAGUGAAGCGGCAACAGCUCAAAUUUGAAAUCUGGCUCUUUUAGGGUCCGAGUUGUAAUUUGUAGAGGAUGCUUCGGCGUCGGCUCCGGUCUAAGUUCCUUGGAACAGGACGUCAUAGAGGGUGAGAAUCCCGUAUGUGAUCGGUUGCCCUUGCCAUGUGAAGCUCCUUCGACGAGUCGAGUUGUUUGGGAAUGCAGCUCUAAAUGGGAGGUAAAUUUCUUCUAAAGCUAAAUACUGGCCAGAGACCGAUAGCGCACAAGUAGAGUGAUCGAAAGAUGAAAAGCACUUUGGAAAGAGAGUCAAAAAGUACGUGAAAUUGUUGAAAGGGAAGCGCUUGCAACCAGACCUGCCUGCAGUUGCUCAUCCGGGCUUUUGCCCGGUGCACUCUUCUGCUGUCAGGCCAGCAUCAGUUCGGGCGGUCGGAUAAAGGCUUCGGGAAUGUAGCUCCUCUCGAGGAGUGUUAUAGCCCGUUGCGAAAUGCGGCCAGCCUGAACUGAGGUCCGCGCUUCGGCUAGGAUGCUGGCGUAAUGGUUGUAAGCGGCCCG
rnacentral:rRNA from 1 species